UACGGAGUGUGCAAGCGUUACUCGGAAUCACUGGGCAUAAAGCGCGCGUAGGCGGGCUUUCAAGUCGGUUGUGAAAUCCCUCAGCUCAACUGAGGAACUGCAUCCGAUACUGUUUGUCUUGAGGACGAGAGGGGAGAGUGGAACUUCUGGUGGAGCGGUGAAAUGCGCAGAUAUCAGGAGGAACACCGGUGGCGAAGGCGGUUCUCUGGGCAUGUCCUGACGCUGAGGAGCGAAAGUGUGGGGAGCGAACAGG
rnacentral:rRNA from 1 species